rnacentral:rRNA from 1 species
GAUGAACGCUGGCGGCGUGCCUAAUACAUGCAAGUCGAGCGAACGGACGAGAAGCUUGCUUCUCUGAUGUUAGCGGCGGACGGGUGAGUAACACGUGGAUAACCUACCUAUAAGGCUGGGAUAACUUCGGGAAACCGGAUCUACUACCGGAUAAUAUUUUGAACCGCAUGGUUCAAAAGUAAAAGUCGGUCUUGCUGUCACUUAUAGAUGGAUCCGCGCUGCAUUAGCUAGUUGGUAAGGUAACGGCUUACCAAGGCAACGAUGCAUAGCCGACCUAAGAGGGUGGUCGCCCACACUGGAACUGAGAAACGGCCCCGACUACUGCGGGAGGCCGCAGUCGGGAAUCUUCCGGGAUGGGCGAAAGCCGGACGGAGCAACGCCGCGUGAGUGCUGAAGGUCCUCGGAUCGUAGAACUAUGUUAUUAGGGAAGAACAUAUGUGUAAGUAACUGUGCAGAUCUUGACGGUACCGAAUCAGAAAGCCACGGCUAACUACGUG